rnacentral:misc_RNA from 1 species
GAUGAAGAACGUAGUGAAAUGCGAUAAGUAAUGUGAAUUGCAGAAUUCCGUGAAUCAUCGAAUCUUUGAACGCACAUUGCGCCCCCUGGUAUUCCGGGGGGCAUGCCUGUCCGAGCGUCAUUACAACCCUCAAGCUCAGCUUGGUGUUGGGCCCCGCCGCCCCGGCGGGCCCUAAAGUCAGUGGCGGUGCCGUCCGGCUCCGAGCGUAGUAAUUCUUCUCGCUCUGGAGGUCCGGUCGUGUGCUCGCCAGCAACCCCCAAUUUUUUUCAGGUUGACCUCGGAUCAGGUAGGGAUACCCGCUGAACUUAAGCAUAUCAAUAAGCGGAGGA